rnacentral:rRNA from 1 species
AGAGUUUGAUCAUGGCUAGAGCGAACGCUGGCGGCGUGCUUAACACAUGCAAGUCGAGUGCGCAGUUUCCUGUAGCAAUACAGGGAAUGGGCGCACGGCGCACGGGUGCGUAACACGUGGGCAAUCUGCCCUCGGAUGGGGGAUAACCCCGCGAAAGCGGGGCUAAUACCGCAUGACAUUCCGAAGACUCCGGUCUUUGGACUCAAAGGCCGCAAGGCCGUCUGAGGAGGAGCCCGCGCCCGAUUAGCUAGUUGGUGAGGUAACGGCUCACCAAGGCUUUGAUCGGUAGCCGGUCUGAGAGGAUGGCCGGCCACACUGGAACUGAGACACGGUCCAGACUCCUACGGGAGGCAGCAGUGGGGAAUAUUGCGCAAUGGGCGAAAGCCUGACGCAGCGACGCCGCGUGGGGGAUGAAGCUUCUCGGAGUGUAAACCCCUUUCGACCCGGACGAAUGACCCGCAAGGGUUUGACGGUACGGGUAUAAGAAGCCCCGGCUAACUACGUGCCAGCAGCCGCGGUAAUACGUAGGGGGCCAGCGUUGCUCGGAAUUACUGGGCGUAAAGGGUUCGUAGGUGGUGCGGCAAGUUGGAAGUGAAAUCUCUGGGCUUAACCCAGAGGCUGCUUUCAAAACUGCCGUGCUCGAGUGCGAGAGAGGCCAGUGGAAUUGCAGGUGUAGCGGUGAAAUGCGUAGAUAUCUGCAGGAACACCCGUGGCGAAGGCGGCUGGCUGGAUCGCAACUGACACUGAGGAACGAAAGCUAGGGGAGCAAACAGGAUUAGAUACCCUGGUAGUCCUAGCCCUAAACCAUCAGAACUUGGGGUGGCCCGCGUAGGCGGGUCGUCCCGUAGCUAACGCGUAAGUUCUGCGCCUGGGGAGUACGGUCGCAAGACUGAAACUCAAAGGAAUUGACGGGGGCCCGCACAAAGCCG